rnacentral:rRNA from 1 species
GAUGAACGCUGGCGGCGUGCCUAAUACAUGCAAGUCGAGCGAACAGACGAGGAGCUUGCUCCUCUGACGUUAGCGGCGGACGGGUGAGUAACACGUGGAUAACCUACCUAUAAGACUGGGAUAACUUCGGGAAACCGGAGCUAAUACCGGAUAAUAUAUUGAACCGCAUGGUUCAAUAGUGAAAGACGGUUUUGCUGUCACUUAUAGAUGGAUCCGCGCCGCAUUAGCUAGUUGGUAAGGUAACGGCUUACCAAGGCGACGAUGCGUAGCCGACCUGAGAGGGUGAUCGGCCACACUGGAACUGAGACACGGUCCAGACUCCUACGGGAGGCAGCAGUAGGGAAUCUUCCGCAAUGGGCGAAAGCCUGACGGAGCAACGCCGCGUGAGUGAUGAAGGUCUUCGGAUCGUAAAACUCUGUUAUUAGGGAAGAACAAAUGUGUAAGUAACUAUGCACGUCUUGACGAUACCUAACCAGAAAGCCACGGCUAACUACGUG